GAUGAACGCUGGCGGCGUGCCUAACACAUGCAAGUCGAACGGAGUCCAGCCUUUAAGACCUUCGGGUCAAAGAGGGGAAGACUGAGUGGCGGACGGGUGAGUAACACGUGGGCAACCUGGCUCAUAGAGGGGGAUAACAGAGAGAAAUUUCUGCUAAUACCGCAUAAGCACACACUGCCGCAUGGCAGAGGGUGAAAAGAGAAUCGCUAUGAGAUGGACCCGCGUCUGAUUAGCCAGUUGGCAGGGUAAGAGCCUACCAAAGCGACGAUCAGUAGCCGAUCUGAGAGGAUGAACGGCCACAUUGGGACUGAGACACGGCCCAAACUCCCACGGGAGGCAGCAGUGGGGGAUAUUGCACAAUGGGGGGAACCCUGAUGCAGCGACGCCGCGUGAGUGAAGAAGUAUUUCGGUAUGUAAAGCUCUAUCAGCAGGGAAGAUAAUGACAGUACCCGAAUAAGAAGCCCCGGCUAACUACGUG
rnacentral:rRNA from 1 species